rnacentral:misc_RNA from 1 species
GUAGGUGAACCUGCAGAAGGAUCAUUACGCGUUAUUUUUUUAUAAACCUUACACACAUUCACACACACACACACACUACACGUGAGUUUAUAAAUUCUAUAACCACACUCUUUGCCGCGUAAGUAAAGAGAUUCACUUUUUUUACGCGUGCGGCAAACACACAAUCUCGAAACAAGAUAUGCCUGCAGACUUGAUCUGUAGGAUACACCUUUCAUCUAGAUCACAUAAUUCAACUCAGCUCUGCGGAGCCUAACACACGCAUAAUUUUAAUUAUGUAGACAUAUUACACACAUUUUCUCAUACUGCAUGAGCGAUGGAUCUCUUGGUUCCUUGCAUCGUUGAAGGUCGCAG